rnacentral:rRNA from 1 species
CUUGCUUUUGUCUGUACCGAGUGGCGGACGGGUGAGUAACGCGUGAGGAACCUGUCUCAUACAGGGGGAUAACAGUUGGAAACAACUGCUAAUACCGCAUAAGACCACAGCAGCGCAUGAUGCAGAGGUCAAAGGAGGAAUCCGGUAUGAGGUGGACUCGCGUCCGAUUAGAUAGUUGGUGAGGUAACGGCCCACCAAGUCAACGAUCGGUAGCCGACCUGAGAGGGUGAUCGGCCACAUUGGAACUGAGAUACGGUCCAGACUCC